ensembl:lncRNA
AUGAAAUCGACACAAUCAGUCGUGAUGUAUUUCGCUACAGGCGUCUGGUCGUCCAGGAAAAGAGAGUAUACACGAAAAUUAUGUGGUCCAGGUAUCGGCUCAUUUGGUACGUCUAGCCGGUCGGCUGAGAAGGUAAAGAAUGGCAAAAUAGAAGGCAAUGGGCAGGUGUCUUGUUUUCCUUCCUCGGACCCAACUGAAGGCACUCAAAUGGGGAGCCAUACCCUGGAGACCAUGACCUAUUCGAGUCAUUCACACAAACGCUGGAAGCUCUCAGCCGUCCAAUCAAACACAAGGCUAGAGCUAUUAGUCCCUCACUCACUCAAGAGCAGGGAAAAGCACAAACUUCAAUUGGAGCCUUCCAUUGUCUCUGCUCCAUUCCUCCCUCGUGUAGCUAUUAGCAACCAUGGGCUUGAACCUGACUCAGAGUGCAUUGCUCCCACAGACAACACUCAAGCAAAUCUGAGAUCAGAUCUAAAGCAGAUCUCUGUGUCUCAUACCUGCUCUGACCUGCCCCUGAGUCAGUCCCCCCCCAUGCACUCCCCUUGCCCUCCCUCCACAGUGCACAUCAAUAGACAGCCCUUGCCAGUCACACACGCCUCUUACCUCUGCUGCAGCCCUGUAGCACAGGUCCACGACCCAUCCCUAACCACAACCGCAGCCCCCAUUAGAUCCACAAACCAUAGACGACGCCGGAAAAGAGGCAUAAAGAACAACAGAAAAGGAGUCUCUCCUCUCUCCAUGCGACUCAAGAGGCAGUCGCGGCGCCGGUGUAACAUCCAGUUCUGGUGGCAGGUGUGGAGGAAGUGGCGGCACAGGAAGUGGCGGAGAGCCAGCUGUCUCCUCUGGUUCUCCAUGAUCAGAGCUAAAAGACUGGCGGAAACCAGGAGGCGCCUGUCUAUUUUCAACACACAGAUGUCUUAUACAUACACUGGGGAAUUGGAGGAAAGUCAGAAAUGGCAGAAGGUACGCAAGGGAAAAGAAGUGGUCACUACGGCCAUUGCAUGUGAUGGUCAAGGCCUGGACAGUGCAGAGGACAGCCAGGAAAAGGGGAGUUUGGAACAGAAGGCGUGUCCGUCUGUGGGCACAUCAGUGCUGUGUAGCAACCCUGUCAAGGUGGAGGACCAGGGCACAGUCAGAGCUAGGGAUGCGGCCACCGCCACUAAACAGGACAAGUUGGUGACAAAGCGAGCAGUGCCGUAUCCACCUCAGAGCCAUCGGGCGUCCACGGACGUCAGCUGGGAAGCAACAACGACGCUCAUCCAUGGUAAAUUAGUUUUCCUUAAACUUAAAAUGUUUCCUUAA